rnacentral:RNase_MRP_RNA from 13 species
GCACAGAGUUCCGGACAAUUUCUGUUAAGACGAUUCUUGUCGGCUGGGUGCGUUUGUGGACUUAACGACAGUCAUGCAACUGAACCGUGCGCA